rnacentral:rRNA from 1 species
UUUGGUGACGAAGAAGUAGGGGGUACACCUGUUCCCAUGCCGAACACAGCAGUUAAGCCCUACGUUGCAGAAGAUACUUGAACGUAACAGUUUCGGGAAAAUAUGGAGUCGCCAAAU